GGAGAGAUGGCUGAGCUGGUCUAAGGCGCACGACUGGAAAUCGUGUAACGGCUAAUACCCGUUCAAGGGUUCGAAUCCCUUUCUCUCCGCCA
rnacentral:tRNA from 3 species